rnacentral:lncRNA from 1 species
GAAGGUCCCAGCCCCACGUUGUGCUGCAGGGGCCUUGGCCCAGACAUAGUCCAUCACACCUUCAGUGCUUUCCACACCUGUUCUGACACUGGCCGCUCUGAUCCCACGGCCUGUCACCUCCCACAUGGCAUUCUAAGGUCCUUGAUGGAAGAACUGACGUUUGUUCCUGGUGACCCCAGGGCCUGCACACAGAGGUGAAAGCUCAGCUCUGCCCGCCGUGGGGGGCACCCUGCCAGUUCGGGCCUGCGUCCCCCCAAGUCAGGUGCAAACCUCAGCGACCACCGCCCCGCCCCACCUCAUGCCCACGCCCCCAGGGCUGGCACGCCAUCAAGGUUCGGCUCAAAGGGGCCCUGGAAGAGGUCGCAUGUGGCCCAGGGUCCGAGCCGCUCAUUAGGCGGUGGCAGCUCUCACGUAAGGCCUUUCAUGUGGUGCGAUGGUAUUUUGCAGGCUUCUUUUCAGAAGGAAAAAGUUAAUAAUGUGAAAGCUUUAUGACCUCUCUUCCCCCUCGGAGCCCUGCCCUGGGGUCGGGGACUGCGGGCUCGUCGCGGCCGCCGGGACUUCCUCGUCUGGGGAGGGGCUGUAAUUAGCACGGAGGCCCCCCCAGGCCGGCCGAGGAGGAGGCUGGUGUGGGCGCGGGCCGCCUGCAAAGCAGAAACAGAUGGGGAAUCCAUUACCUGCCCUACAAAGGAGGCGGCCUCGCUAAUAAACGUAUUUACUGGGUUAAAUAAAUACGCCGAGGGUUGUUAAAAGCCUGGCCUGUGACUGCAAGUCACCAACAUUUUUCACUUGUCAGAAAGGGGCUUUGGGAGGCUUUCCGGCGGCCUGCCUUCCUGCCCGUGUUUAUGCAUCCACGGUGCCCCCUCAGCUCCUCCGACCACGGCAAAAGAAAGGGUCUUUGUCUGGCGGCGGGGAGCCCUAGGGUGGGCAGGCGGAUGCACGCGGCCCGUGUGUGCCGGGCGCAGGAGCGGGAGGCCUGCCCGGAGCUGGACCAGGCGCAGCUGGACAAGGCGGAGCCGCGAGCAGAGACAUCUUCACACGUCUUUCCACAGCGAUGCAUCCUCCCAGAAGGCUCUGUCAGGUCCAUGUAGGUGGGAAAGAAAAUCUUCAACAGCCCGCAGGCCAUUUGGACUGG